GACCAGUAUGUAUGCAAGUUGCUCUGGAUAAGAGUGUCUGCUAAAUGACAAAGA
rfam:Salmo salar isolate Sally breed double haploid chromosome ssa26, whole genome shotgun sequence.